GCAUGUACAUAUAUAUAGUAUAAUUUGUAUUCUGAAUCUAUCAUGAGGAUUAGGUUACCUCGAGGAUUGACUAAAGAUCAAUUUUACGUUGUAUUAAUUUUAGGAACAGUCACCGGUUUCUAUAACUGGAAAAAACCGUUACAGGAACAUUUAAAGGAGCAAUUUGAAGAGGAAAAUAAGUUAAAUGAGCCUACCAGUAAAAACCAAGAAUCUGUUAAUUCAGAAAUUUAGCACACUUGGACUUGUAGUAAUCAGUGGAGCCUUGAUUAUAACAUGUGUUCGAAUUUAUGUACGGCCAUGGUAUUUGAAACGAAGAUCUGCACAAGCAGAAGAACAUGCAAAUAUUGUUUACGAGCUACAGAAGAAAAAAAUUUUACAAGAACAAAAUGAGAGUUGAGAUCGAAUUAAUAUUGUUUUAAUAUUCUAUAUGAUCCAUUCGUUGUAUUAGAAUUUUUAUUUAAAUAAAAAAUGUGUAAAUAGUA